UACGUAGGGUGCAAGCGUUAAUCGGAAUUACUGGGCGUAAAGCGUGCGCAGGCGGUUCGCUAAGACAGAUGUGAAAUCCCCGGGCUUAACCUGGGAACUGCAUUUGUGACUGGCGGGCUAGAGUUUGGCAGAGGGGGGUAGAAUUCCACGUGUAGCAGUGAAAUGCGUAGAUAUGUGGAGGAACACCGAUGGCGAAGGCAGCCCCCUGGGUCAAGACUGACGCUCAUGCACGAAAGCGUGGGGAGCAAACAGG
rnacentral:rRNA from 1 species